ACUACUGUAACAACAGCCCAUGAAAAGGCCGUGAAAUGUCUGUGAAAUAUCACAGGGCCGUGAAAACCCCGUGAAAAUACCCCGUGACUUUUGUAAAAAAAAUAUUUCUAAAGGCCGUGAAAAAUAUUUGAUGUUAGAAAAAGACCGUGAAAUUUCAAUAUCCCGUGAAAAGGCCGUGAUAAUUUGUCCUUUCAUGCUUAAUAAAAAAUAUCACGGCCUUUUCACUGGUUGUUGAAACCAGUGAAAAGGCCGUAAUAUUUUUUCAUGUCAUUUUUUUCUUAUCCUAAUUCAGAUUUAAAACAUCCCAUGUGAUUAUUGUAAUAUGGUCUAAUUAUUUCCACUCACAUUUUUCUAAAUAUCCUAUAAACUUUUCAUUAUAAAUAUAUGUCUGUUUUAAUAUUAUUAUAUGCAAUACUACUGUACAGGACUGACUUUUCAAUGGAACCAUUCAUUGUUAUAAUUAAUGACUUUGUGCCAAUACACAUUUUGUAUUUAAAGAAAAGUAUUUUGCUUCUCGUCUGUACAUUAUUAUAAACAAUGUAAACAUUAAUUUUAAUUGGAACCGAAACAUGUAAAAACGAGAACUUCCCGGAAUAUCAGACCGUAUCCGGAUUCGUGUUUCUUUUAGAGUAAUUGUCACAUUUCCGCAAGCUAGGUAGGAAAUUUGAAAGACGCCGAAGGUCGAUUAAUAUUUACUUUAUAGAUGCAAGACGAGUGACAGCAAGUUUGAGGAAUGAAGAGCAAAAGGAUAUAGCAGUCUUUAUAUAAAAUAGUUCAGGAAUCCAGUUGGAAAGAAGAGCUUUUCAGUUAAAAGUAUUUCCUGGGAAUUAACAGGAACUUCUAUAAAUGUUUUUUCUGGAAUAGUUAUUCAAAAGGGCAGUGAAGUGAAGGAUUACAUUAGACAAAUAUUGCUGAAGUGGUAAAAUCAGACCCAAGAGAUGUACAAAAUUUCUACAAUACAUGUUACAGCUGACUUUUGCUACUUAAUCACAUUGACAUUUGUGUGCUUUUAUGUUUUCUUUACAUAAUUACUACAGUUCUAUUAAAAUUAAUAUUUUUA